UGUGCUUUAGUCAAGAGGCAGUAUAUAAACUUUACUCCGUUGACUUUCUCAAGACAUCCAGGAGUUAGUCUAGAAUAAGGUCACAUCUGCAGCUGGUGACACUUUUGGAUUGUAGCUUAUUCAUCACAUACAAAAGUUUUGAAAUAAUUUGACCCCAUUGAUUGACAUUUGCAGAAAAAAAAAAUGUAAGCAAUAUUAAAAGAUGAAAAACAUAAAAUGCUGUGUGUGUGUACGUGCGC